UCAACUGGACAGCUCAGUUGGUUAGAGCGUACUGCUGUUGACACCAAAGUCACAGGUUCGAUCCCUGCAUGGGACUGCUGAA